rnacentral:lncRNA from 10 species
AUCCUAAUCAAUCCAUUUUAUUCCUUGAUAAGGCUCGCUGUUUAAAUAUAUUCAACCCUUUUGUUUGUACUGUUGUGGGGUUUUUUUUGUUUGUUUUUGAGACAGUCUUGCUCUAUUGCCCAGGCUGUAAUGCAGUGGGGAGAUCUCAGCUCACUGCAACCUCAGCCUCCUAGGCUCAAGCAAUUCUUGUGCCUCAGCCUCUGGAGUAGCUGGGAUUCAGGCAUGUGCCACCACACUCAGCUAAUUUUUUGUAUUUUUAGUAGAGAUGGGGUUUCACCAUGUUGACCAGGCUAGUCUCAAACUCCUGGUUUCAAAUUGAUCCACCUACCUCGGCCUCCCCAAGUGCUGGGAUUACAGGUGUGAGCCACCAUGCCUGGCCUGUUUGUACUGUUAAUGGAAAAAAAAAACUGUACAAUAUUUGUUAAAGGUUUAUUCUGAGCCAAUAUGAGUGAGCACGGCCUGGGAAACACAGUCUCAAGAGGCCCUGAGAAAGUGCGCCUAGGGCAGUUGAGUUACAACUUUUCUUGUUUUUUGUUUUGAGACAGGGUCUCACUCUGUAGCUCAGGCUGGAGUGCAGUGAUGUGACCACGGCUCACUGCAGCCUCGACUUCCCAGGCUCAGGUGAUCCUCCCAUCUCAGCCUCUCAAGUAGCUGGGACUGUAGAUGUGCACCACCAUGCCCGGCUAGCUUUUGUAUUUUUGUAGAGAUGCAAUUUCACCAUGUUGCCCAGGCUGGUCUUGAACUCCUGGGCUCAAGCGAUCUGCCCACCUUGGCCUCCCAAAGUGCUGGGAUGAACCACCAUGCCUGGCCCACAGUUUGGUUUUUAUAUGUUUUAGGGAGGCAAGAAUUGCAGAUAAAAUCACAUCAAUACAUGGAAGGUAUACAUUGGUUUGGCCUGAAAAGGCGGGACGUUUCAGAGCUGCGGCUUACAAGUCAUAGGUGGGUUUUAGGGAUGCUUUAGUUGGUAGUUGCUUGAAAGAGUUAAGCUUCGUCUAAAGACUUGAAGUUAGUAGAAAGGAAUGCUUAAGUUCUGAUAAGGUGGGAGGCGGUACAAUAGGGCGAGUCCAAUCU